UCCGUAGGUGAACCUGCGGAGGGAUCAUUACCGAGCGAGGGCGUCAGGCCCGACCUCCGACCCUUUUGUGUCCUACACCCUGUUGCCUCGGGGGCGACCCGGCCGCUGCGUCGGGCCCCCCUGAGGACCCUCUAACCCAUGUAGUGGGUAACACUACCAGAGGGAGAAAGGAGCCCCUGGUGCAACUCCGGGCCGGGAAGUCUUCCCGGGUGCGAGUAGCACGCUCUGCCAACUCCGAGAACAAAUGGGAAGUAAACAUAAAACCCUGCGUCCUCCUGCGUCUGAGUCGUGAGUAGAAAUUGAAUCAAAACUUUCAACAAUGGAUCUCUUGGUUCCGGCAUCGAUGAAGAACGCAGCGAAAUGCGAUAAGUAAUGUGAAUUGCAGAAUUCCGUGAAUCAUCGAAUCUUUGAACGCACAUUGCGCCCUCCGGUAUUCCGGAGGGCAUGCCUGUCCGAGCGUCAUCAACCCACCUCAAGCCUCGCUUGGUGUUGGGCGUCGCGGCCGCCGCGCGCCCUAAUGUCCCCGGCCGAGCCGGCCGUCCCGAAGCGUUGUGGCGUCUACUGUGCCGCUUCCGGGACCGGUCUGGCGGUGUGCCGUCAAACCCCCUUCAAAGGUGGACCUCGG
rnacentral:rRNA from 1 species